GAAUAGAAAGGUUGACUUUUGAUUGACCUAUGAAUAUUUUAAUAAAUGCAGCUUUUGGUUGUAAAAAUGAGACAGUAAACUUUCUUUACAUAUUUUUAACCUUUUGUUUCUACUAAACUGACAAUAAGAUUUCAACAUGAUCUAAAAUGAUGUUAACAAUUUGGAUGUGCUAGUAAGUUUUUUUUGUGUUUUUUAUAAUUUCAAACAUUUUGUUUGUUUUCUUUUCAAGCUCUUAGUCUCAAGAAAGCAUGGU
rnacentral:lncRNA from 1 species